ACAAAUUCUGCGAUAGGAAGAGUACGUUCUUUUGCCCAUCCCAAGAGAAUCACCGGCUGGUGGAAGGUGACAGGUGGAGAAGAAGGGAAGAUCAUCCUGGAGAAGCGUCGUUGAAAUGAGUAGAUGCCGCCGGUUACGUGACCGUUACCCACGAUGGUUCAAAGUGCCGCACACGUGCGGAAUUCGGGUGGUACCGCGGAAAUGACUCCGUCCCUUUA
rnacentral:ncRNA from 1 species